AGUGAACGCUGGCGGUAGGCCUAACACAUGCAAGUCGAACGGCAGCACAGUAAGAGCUUGCUCUUACGGGUGGCGAGUGGCGGACGGGUGAGGAAUACAUCGGAAUCUACUUUUUCGUGGGGGAUGACGUAGGGAAACUUACGCUAAUACCGCAUACGACCUACGGGUGAAAGCAGGGGAUCUUCGGACCUUGCGCGAUUGAAUGAGCCGAUGUCGGAUUAGCUAGUUGGCGGGGUAAAGGCCCACCAAGGCGACGAUCCGUAGCUGGUCUGAGAGGAUGAUCAGCCACACUGGAACUGAGACACGGUCCAGACUCCUACGGGAGGCAGCAGUGGAGAAUAUUGGACAAUGGGCGCAAGCCUGAUCCAGCCAUACCGCGUGGGUGAAGAAGGCCUUCGGGUUGUAAAGCCCUUUUGUUGGGAAAGAAAAGCAGCAGGUUAAUACCCCGCUGUUCUGACGGUACCCAAAGAAUAAGCACCGGCUAACUUCGUG
rnacentral:rRNA from 1 species